UACAGAGGUCUCAAGCGUUGUUCGGAUUCAUUGGGCGUAAAGGGUGUGUAGGUGGCGCGCUAAGUCGGGUGUGAAAUUUCGGAGCUUAACUCCGAAACUGCAUUCGAUACUGGCGUGCUUGAGGACUGGAGAGGAGACUGGAAUUUACGGUGUAGCAGUGAAAUGCGUAGAUAUCGUAAGGAAGACCAGUGGCGAAGGCGGGUCUCUGGACAGUUCCUGACACUGAGACACGAAGGCCAGGGGAGCAAACGGA
rnacentral:rRNA from 1 species